rnacentral:lncRNA from 1 species
CACAUAUUGUAAGAAAUAAGAAUCGAUGUGCUUUGAUUUUUAAUAAAAUGGAGCCAGGGAGACUUAUUUGUAUAGAAAAAAGAGACUUCAAAUUGCUGGGUUGGGUAUCUCUACAUGGAAUUGAAGUUUCAAACACUAGCUAGUUGAGUGGUCAUUCUUACGCUAUUCUAGGUCAGUGCGCCUGCCAUAAAAAUGAUAACAUGUUAGCUUAGAAAUAUAUGAUGGAAUGUGCGUUCAACUAAAAGCAUUGGAUGUUGCAAGUUUUCAUAUUAUAUAAUUUGUGAACUCAGGAAGUAUUAUUGUCAAAGUAAAAUGAUGGAAGUCCUAAACUAUUCAGGUAACUUACAGGCAUCACCUGAAGGUGUAUGAUGUCACACUCUUUGCAUACAUCGUUCCCCUGAAUGUAGAAAAACUACAGUUAAUAGCAAAUAUGGUGAAAGAUAGGUCUGUUAUGGAACAGAGGGAAUUGGUCUCACAGACAUGGAAGUGCAUCUCAAAAAUAAAGUUCAGAUAGGAGCCAAUUGGCACUACUGGAAACUAACAUUAUCUGUUGCCU